rnacentral:lncRNA from 1 species
GUGGAGUGCCAUGAUCAGAGCCAAGGGUCACGAUCAUUUGGCACUAAUGCCGACCUAGUCGGGGUAGUUCGUUCAUGUGGAGGAGAUCUAUCCUUGAGUUUUGGAGAUAAUACCUUGGGUCAGAUGAUCGAUUGGUGAUAAAUAGAUGGUGGACAUCUCUCGAGAUCCAUGGAUCAUUGACCUCCCACUGGCCAGGUGGCCAACCUUUGUUAGUAUGGAGGUGGUCAACUCAAUGUAUGUUUGUGACUUACUCCAAAUAGGGAGAG